rnacentral:rRNA from 1 species
UACGUAGGGUCCGAGCGUUGUCCGGAGUGACUGGGCGUAAAGCGCGCGCAGGCGGCCUGUUAGGCACGACGUGAAAUCCCCCGGCUCAACCGGGGAAUUGCGCGUGAUACUGGCGAACUCGAGGCGGGUAGGGGUGAGCGGAACUCCAGGUGGAGCGGUGAAAUGCGUAGAUAUCUGGAGGAACACCGGUGGCGAAGGCGGCUUGCUGGGCAUGAUCUGACGCUGAGGCGCGAAAGCGUGGGGAGCAAACAGG